GGGGUGGGGAGCCCACAAUCGUGUCAGACUAGAAAAACCACAAUAAAUAACAUUGCGACUUUUAACAGCCUACCAGUGCGUAUGAGAGGUUGGUCAGUCCUCCUGGGGCCCAGGCAAUGUUUCACAGCCGUUAGAGGAGACUAUUAGGCCAAAAAGGAAGCAAAACAGAACCCAAGUUAAAGGUGUUAAAGGACGGACAAAAUUGCACUGGUGGGGAUAGAAGAAAGCCCCAACAACCAUGUCACUAUCCACACAUCGUUCCUCAAGGGGCCGUUUUAUGGUAGACAUCCGCACGGCUAAUGUGGUCCAGAUAAGGAAUAUACAAGAGUUUCCUUGGUGUACUCUGCCUUCGCCUCUAACCCGAGAGCCAUCGUUAAUAGGAUGUAACACAUUACAUCUGCUUGAGUACCUUCCACGCAGAACAGUUGUGCAGAUAGGCCGAUGAAAGGAAGCUUCCACGGGUCCAGGAUUCUAAAAAUCUUUGACUGAACUCUUUGGGACAAUUACAAAUAAAUUGAUCAAAUAAAUAAAUAAAUAAAAUAA
rnacentral:sRNA from 1 species